UACGUAGGGAGCAAGCGUUGUCCGGAAUCAUUGGGCGUAAAGCGCGCGUAGGUGGCUUCGUAAGUCCGUUGUGAAAGUCAAAGGCUCAACCUUUGAAUGCCGAUGGAUACUGCGGAGCUAGAGUACGGAAGAGGCGAGUGGAAUUCCUGGUGUAGCGGUGGAAUGCGCAGAUAUCAGGAGGAACACCAAUAGCGAAGGCAGCUCGCUGGGACGUUACUGACACUAAGGCGCGAAAAGCGUGGGGAGCGAACAGG
rnacentral:rRNA from 1 species